rnacentral:rRNA from 1 species
AUAGCGUAUAUUAAAGUUGUUGCAGUUAAAAAGCUCGUAGUUGGAUUUCUGGUUUAGUGCGCUUGGCCCGCCACGGUUUCGUGUGUGAGUGCCGAUGCGCGCUUACCAUCUUUCUGGAGAACGUUCCUGCCCUUUACUGGGUUGGGUUCGCAAUCCAGAACUUUUACUUUGAAAAAAUUAGAGUGUUUAAAGCAGGCGUGUGCUAUGAAUACAUUAGCAUGGAAUAAUGAUUUAGGACUUUAGUCUUAUUUUGUUGGUUUCCAGGACUGAAGUAAUGAUUGAUAGGGAUAGUUGGGGGUGCUAGUAUUCAGCGGCCAGAGGUGAAAUUCUUGGAUUCGCUGAAGACUAACUUAUG